rnacentral:rRNA from 1 species
CCCUACGGGACGCAGCAGUGAGGAAUAUUGGUCAAUGGGCGAGAGCCUGAACCAGCCAAGUCGCGUGAGGGAAGACGGUCCUAUGGAUUGUAAACCUCUUUUGUCGGGGAGCAAAAAGGCCUCGUGAGGCCACAAGCGAGAGUACCCGAAGAAAAAGCAUCGGCUAACUCCGUGCCAGCAGCCGCGGUAAUACGGAGGAUGCGAGCGUUAUCCGGAUUUAUUGGGUUUAAAGGGUGCGCAGGCGGCACGGCAAGCCGGCGGUCAAAUCGCGGGGCUCAACCCCGCCCAGCCGUCGG